rnacentral:rRNA from 1 species
UACGUAGGGUCCAAGCGUUAAUCGGAAUUACUGGGCGUAAAGCGUGCGCAGGCGGUUCUGAAAGUCAGCUGUGAAAGCCCCGGGCUUAACUUGGGAAUUGCGCUCGAAACUACGUGGCUGGAGUGCGGCAGAGGAAGGUGGAAUUCCACGUGUAGCGGAUGAAAUGCGUAGAGAUGUGGAGGAACACCGAUGGCGAAGGCAAUCCCCGUGGGCCUGCACUGACGCUCAUGCACGAAAGCGUGGGAGCAAACAG